AUCCGAAGUAUGCUGGCCACAAGCUCACAAGAACUCAAAUUUCCACUUGGAUACCUUAUCUUUGAUGGCAGCAUGCAUGCCUGGCCAGAACAGAACACCUUGGGCUCUGUUCCUGCACUUCUCAAUACUCAAAUGGGCACUGUAGGUUAUACCUAGCAUUUCCAACCUCAUGUUGUGUGGUGUUAUGAUAAUGUCCUUUGUAUAGAAACCCAUCAUCUGCAGCAACCUCAUCUCUGUAGUCGCAAUAAGUUUUACAUAUGGAAGUGGCUGGGCUUUUUUUCUGCUAGAAUAACUCAUUCAGACUCCAGUAAGGUUGAGUCAUUCCAUUUUUCUCACUUAAGUUUGUCAACUUUUGUCUCCAAAAUGAAAAAUACUGAGUUGCAUUUACAUAAGACCCUUCAUCAUUGUUUUCGUUAUUGAGAGGUAGC
rnacentral:lncRNA from 1 species